AUUGAACGCUGGCGGCAUGCCUUACACAUGCAAGUCGAACGGCAGCGGGGAGAAGCUUGCUUUUCCUGCCGGCGAGUGGCGAACGGGUGAGUAAUACAUCGGAACGUGCCCUGUCGUGGGGGAUAACUAGUCGAAAGAUUAGCUAAUACCGCAUACGACCUGAGGGUGAAAGUGGGGGACCGCAAGGCCUCAUGCUAUAGGAGCGGCCGAUGUCUGAUUAGUUAGUUGGUGGGGUAAAGGCCUACCAAGGCGACGAUCAGUAGCUGGUCUGAGAGGACGAUCAGCCACACUGGGACUGAGACACGGCCCAGACUCCUACGGGAGGCAGCAGUGGGGAAUUUUGGACAAUGGGCGAAAGCCUGAUCCAGCAAUGCCGCGUGUGUGAAGAAGGCCUUCGGGUUGUAAAGCACUUUUGUCCGGAAAGAAAUGGCUCUGGUUAAUACCUGGGGUCGAUGACGGUACCGGAAGAAUAAGGACCGGCUAACUACGUGCCAGCCGCCGCGGUAA
rnacentral:rRNA from 1 species